UACACCGGAUAGACCGGAUAGACCGGAUACACCGGACCGGUGUAUCCGGUGUAUCCGGUGUAUCCGGUCUAUCCGGUCUAUCCGGUCUA
rnacentral:pre_miRNA from 1 species